CAUAAGAACCAUAAAUAAAAUAGCAUGCAAUAAUAUCAGACAGUAACUACCAUAAGGGAGACACAAUCCAAUACACAAAUCAUCUAUGGAUAGCCUUAAAGCCUCAUCCAACCCCGGGUAAGGAGUACGUAAAACUCUUGAAGCCCCUAUCCUACGACCCUGAUACUAGACCUCCAGACUUUCCUAUCAAGGGCCAUGUCCUC
rnacentral:lncRNA from 1 species